GACGAACGCUGGCGGCGUGCUUAACACAUGCAAGUCGAACGGAAAGGCCCUGCUUUUGUGGGGUGCUCGAGUGGCGAACGGGUGAGUAACACGUGAGUAACCUGCCCUUGACUUUGGGAUAACUUCAGGAAACUGGGGCUAAUACCGGAUAGGAGCUCCUGCUGCAUGGUGAGGGUUGGAAAGUUUCGGCGGUUGGGGAUGGACUCGCGGCUUAUCAGCUUGUUGGUGGGGUAGUGGCUUACCAAGGCUUUGACGGGUAGCCGGCCUGAGAGGGUGACCGGCCACAUUGGGACUGAGAGACGGCCCAGACUCCUACGGGAGGCAGCAGUGGGGAGUAUUGCACAAUGGGCGGAAGCCUGAUGCAGCAACGCCGCGUGCGGGAUGACGGCCUUCGGGUUGUAAACCGCUUUCGCCUGUGACGAAGCGUGAGUGACGGUAAUGGGUAAAGAAGCACCGGCUAACUACGUG
rnacentral:rRNA from 1 species